rnacentral:rRNA from 1 species
UACGUAGGGGGCAAGCGUUGUCCGGAUUUAUUGGGCGUAAAGAGCGUGUAGGCGGCCAUGUAGGUCCGUUGUGAAAACUCGAGGCUCAACCUCGAGACGCCGAUGGAAACCAUGUGGCUAGAGUCCGGAAGAGGAGAGUGGAAUUCCUGGUGUAGCGGUGAAUGACGCAGAUAUCAGGAAGAACACCCGUGGCUAAGGCGGCUCUCUAGUACGGUACUGACGCUGAGACGCGAAAGCGUGGGGAGCGAACAGG